GCCAGUGUAGUGUAGUGGUUUGAGUGUUGGACUAUAACUCUGGCGACCAGGGUUUGAAUCCCAGCUUGGCCA